rnacentral:lncRNA from 1 species
UACAGUUACAGAAGACGAUUCUACUCAUAAAGGGUUCUCAUUAUGUUUUUCAAUGUAUUCUAUUUUAUAGAAUCUCGGAGUUGGAAGAGAAUUUGGAGGCCACGUUUGAUAACAAGAGCCAAGAUCUCACAAGUUCUUUCCCAUGUAAACAUCAGACUGUAGAACCUCACUAAGAGAAAACACAGGUUGGGACUUUCCCCCCCUUUCUAAACUGAGACUAUUAGCUAUGUUCUGUCAGACAAAAAUUAUAGUCUCUGAAAUACCAGAUAGUUCAUAAGAGGUUAUAAAAAUGACUUUAUAAUCCCCUCUCCAUCAUGUAAGCAGACAUGUUUCAGCUUUCCAGCAUUUCCCCAUGUGGCCCAGUGCAGGACUUAACAUUGCAGAGAAACUCCCCAUAUGUGGCCCUGCGCAGAACUGCUUUAUUCAGCUGCAGAGAAGCCCAGAUGCUUUAUCGACUUUGUGCUUGGGUGGGUGACUUGGGUUAAUAGGGAUGGAGACAUGAAGCCAAAGGAAAAGAAAGAAGACCUUUGCCUUCUUAUUCAAAAGGAAAUGUUGAACAUCCCUAGUUCCUUCAAAGCAUCUUCUAGGGCAUGGACUAAAGACCUGUCGCCAUCCUGGAUGCCCUCUGCUGGACAGUCUUUAGAUUCUCAAAGGGAUGCUAGGAUGUCUAGAGACAAUGGCAGAGAUGGAAGAACAUUUGCUUCCAGGAUUCUGCUACAGAAAACAAAUACUCUCAAAGGCUUUAACAACAAGAAUUGUUCUCUGAAUGUCCACAGAGUCAUUGGAAAAGGACUUCACUUGGAAGUAAUUGGCUUCCUGACAUGUGGGUGCUUCGCACAAUAUUGGGAACAUAAUAAGUCCUUAAUAAAUAUGUGUUUUGAGGAACAGGAAAUGAAACAAAGGGGAAAAUGAAGAAAGAAGGAAAAGAAAAAGAGUACAGUGAGAACUAAGCUACUCUGAGAAUGUGCUAAAAGCUAUUGCAUGCGAAGAUAUAAAUGAAAUUAAAAAACAUCAAUAGUCCUUUCCAGGAGGAAUGGAAAUAAUAUCUCUGUAAUUUCAUGGUAUAGAAUGUUUUGAUCUCACAUUUGGGGGAAGUGAUUAAAGUCAUCAAAAGAAGAAACAGUUACUU